AAACGCAGAAGAAAAUUUUGCAUUAGCUGCAUAAGCUACGUCCCUCAUACUUGUGCCUACCAAGUGUGAAUGGACGUCAAACCGUAGGCUGGCUUAAUUCAGUUGUUCAUAUGAAUUAGGCGAGACAACAUGAACUGGGGUUGUGUAGCUUGUCUGUGAGCGGUAGCAACCUGAGAUCUAAAUCAUAGACUGUGCUCGGAGAAGUCUAUAUGGCAACACUUCUGGACAGGGGUUCGACUCCCCUCAUCUCCACCA
rnacentral:tmRNA from 1 species